UACGUAGGGGGCAAGCGUUGUCCGGAUUUAUUGGGCGUAAAGGGCGCGUAGGCGGUCCUGAUCGUCGGAUGUGAAAGGCCUGGGCUCAACCUGGGAACUGCAUCCGAUACGGCGGGACUGGAGUGUGGGAGAGGUUGGUGGAAUUCCCAGUGUAGAGGUGAAAUUCGUAGAUAUUGGGAAGAACACCGGUGGCGAAGGCGGCCAACUGGACCACAACUGACGCUGAGGCGCGAAAGCGUGGGGAGCAAACAGG
rnacentral:rRNA from 1 species